CAGCAGCCGCGGUAAUACGAAGGGGGCUAGCGUUGUUCGGAUUUACUGGGCGUAAAGCGCACGUAGGCGGACUUUUAAGUCAGGGGUGAAAUCCCGGGGCUCAACCCCGGAACUGCCUUUGAUACUGGAAGUCUUGAGUAUGGUAGAGGUGAGUGGAAUUCCGAGUGUAGAGGUGAAAUUCGUAGAUAUUCGGAGGAACACCAGUGGCGAAGGCGGCUCACUGGACCAUUACUGACGCUGAGGUGCGAAAGCGUGGGGAGCAAACAGGAUUAGAUACCCGCGUAGUCCCUGUCUCUUAUAU
rnacentral:rRNA from 1 species